UACAGAGACUGCAAGCGUUAUUCGGAUUCACUGGGCGUAAAGGGUGCGCAGGUGGUUGUGUGUGUCAGAUGUGAAAUCCCGGAGCUUAACUCCGGAACUGCGUCUGAAACUGCACGACUAGAGCAUUGGAGAGGGUAGUGGAAUUCACGGUGUAGCAGUGAAAUGCGUAGAUAUCGGGAGGAACACCAGUGGCGAAGGCGACUUCCUGGCCUGUUCUUGACGCUGAGGCGCGAAAGCUAGGGUAGCAAACGGG
rnacentral:rRNA from 1 species